rnacentral:rRNA from 1 species
CACUCCUGCGGGAGGCAGCAGUGGGGAAUAUUGGACAAUGGGCGCAAGCCUGAUCCAGCCAUGCCGCGUGAGUGAUGAAGGCCCUAGGGUUGUAAAGCUCUUUCACCGGUGAAGAUAAUGACGGUAACCGGAGAAGAAGCCCCGGCUAACUUCGUGCCAGCAGCCGCGGUAAUACGAAGGGGGCUAGCGUUGUUCGGCUUUACUGGGCGUAAAGCGCACGUAGGCGGACUAUUAAGUCAGGGGUGAAAUCCCGGGGCUCAACCCCGGAACUGCCUUUGAUACUGGUAGUCUUGAGUUCGAGAGAGGUGAGUGGAAUUCCGAGUGUAGAGGUGAAAUUCGUAGAUAUUCGGAGGAACACCAGUGGCGAAGGCGGCUCACUGGCUCGAUACUGACGCUGAGGUGCGAAAGCGUGGGGAGCAAACAGGAUUAGAAACCCCGGUAGUCCCA